rnacentral:rRNA from 1 species
AUGGGAGACGAGAUCGUCGGCGACGCGCUGCUGGUGUGGGAUUUGGCCCAGGUGAUCUGGGGCACUGCUGCCACUCGUGCGGCAGAACGGCGGCUGCAGCGGUGCGUCUGGGGAGUGAUGCAUAGACCUGGUCUUGUGUUGGGCAGGCAAAGUCGUUCGACGGGAUGCAAAAGUUCUUCAUCCACUUCCAUGGCCCCAACGACAAUACGCCCCCAUUGCAAGAAUCCAUUAGAAUUCUAUACCUACAGUCAUGCUGAUAUGAUGGAUCUGGAUGAACCAUUUGAUCCCAUGUUUAGUUGA